UGAGGAAUAUUGGAUAAUGGAUGGAAAUCUGAUCCAGCCAUGCCGCGUGCAGGAAGAAUGUCCUAUGGAUUGUAAACUGCUUUUGUAUGGGAGCAAUAAGGUCUUCGUGAAGGCCGAUGAGAGUACCAUACGAAUAAGCACCGGCUAACUCCGUGCCAGCAGCCGCGGUAAUACGGAGGUGCAAGCGUUAUCCGGAUUUAUUGGGUUUAAAGGGUGCGUAGGCGGUUAUAUAAGUCAGCGGUGAAAUUUUUCGGCUCAACCGGAAACAUGCCGUUGAUACUGUAUAGCUUGAAUAUGGUUGCUGUGAGUGGAAUGUGUAGUGUAGCGGUUGAAAUGCUUAGAUAUUACACAGAAUAUGAUUGCGAAGGCAAACUCACAAAGCCAUUAUUGACGCUGAGGC
rnacentral:rRNA from 1 species